UUAAUUGAAGCCAAAAAGAGGCAUAUCACUGUUAAUGAUAAAAUUGGACCUUUUAAAUUCCCAAUUAAA
rnacentral:tRNA from 1 species